UCCUGACAUAAGGAGAGUGACUGGCGCCCCGUGAUCCCCUGAAGGGCUCUCCGCUCUCUCCAGAAUUCGGGCCCAUCUCCAGUUCUAAUUCCCAUUCAUCCAGGCAGAUCCUGAAUGCUGAGAAGGAGGAGACGAGCUCCUUUUGGAAAGAUGUUUCAAAGAAGAGAUCAGUCUAUCAUUUCGUCAGUCAAUGAGCAGCAAGUGCUAAUUACAAGCCCAGCACUGGUCCAAAUGCUGUGGACUGCUGUGGACGCAAAGGAGCAAACAAAGUCCAGGCUAUCUCCACAUGUUCUGAUGUCUGAAUCCACUUGCACAUAGGUUCAGCCUCUCCCGGAAUAAUUGCCAUCGAUCUGCUCUCCCUACUCGUAUGUCCAGCUCCAGCGUGUCUUCUACAAAGUCCUUCAGAGGCUCCCCUCACCUGUCUUCUUGCCCCUAUUUCCUUGUUCUGUUCUAGCUCUUUUACAUUCAUUUCUCACCUAAAUCAUAUCUCCAGAAGAGGAUGUCUUCCUCUUCACUCCAUUCUUCAGUAACCAGGACGUGACUAUUCGGGUAUUUAAAAACUCUUAAAAUGUGCCGGAUGGAGGAAUGGAUGGAUAGACCGUGAAGUCAUCGAGCUGCUGAAUUCCAAAUGUUGAUGGGAACUCGGGGAUCAUCUCUCACUUUGCAUACCUGCCUCAUCUCCUUUUACAGCAUCUGCCACGUGAACUGGAUGGAGCAUUAGCCUUUGCUGGAAGAUCUCGAUGGUGGCCGUCAUCCCAUGAUGUCCAGUGGCUGCCCAUUUCACGUUUCUGUAGCUCUCAUUAUUAGACGUGAAACCUAA